CUUGACAUCCAGCGAACUUUCCAGAGAUGGAUUGGUGCCUUCGGGAACGCUGAGACAGGUGCUGCAUGGCUGUCGUCAGCUCGUGUUGUGAAAUGUUGGGUUAAGUCCGCAACGAGCGCAACCCUUAUCCUUUGUUGCCAGCGAUUCGGUCGGGAACUCAAAGGAGACUGCCGGUGAUAAACCGGAGGAAGGUGGGGAUGACGUCAAGUCAUCAUGGCCCUUACGAGUAGGGCUACACACGUGCUACAAUGGCGCAUACAAAGAGAAGCGACCCCGCGAGAGCAAGCGGACCUCAUAAAGUGCGUCGUAGUCCGGAUCGGAGUCUGCAACUCGACUCCGUGAAGUCGGAAUCGCUAGUAAUCGUGGAUCAGAAUGCCACGGUGAAUACGUUCCCGGGCCUUGUACACACCGCCCGUCACACCAUGGGAGUGGGUUGCAAAAGAAGUAGGUAGCUUAACCUUCGGGAGGGCGCUUACCACUUUGUGAUUCAUGACUGGGGCGAAGUCGUAACAAGGUAAGCGUAGCGAG
rnacentral:rRNA from 1 species